rnacentral:rRNA from 1 species
AGUCACGCUGUAAACGAUGUCGAUUUGGAGGUUGUUCCCGUGAGGAGUGGCUUCCGGAGCUAACGCGUUAAAUCGACCGCUGGGGAGUACGGCCGCAAGGUUAAAACUCAAAUGAAUUGACGGGGGCCCGCACAAGCGGUGGAGCAUGUGGUUUAAUUCGAUGCAACGCGAAGAACCUUACCUACUCUUGACAUCCAGAGAAUUUAGCAGAGAUGCUUUAGUGCCUUCGGGAACUCUGAGACAGGUGCUGCAUGGCUGUCGUCAGCUCGUGUUGUGAAAUGUUGGGUUAAGUCCCGCAACGAGCGCAACCCUUAUCCUUUGUUGCCAGCACAUUAUGGUGGGAACUCAAAGGAGACUGCCGGUGAUAAACCGGAGGAAGGUGGGGAUGACGUCAAGUCAUCAUGGCCCUUACGAGUAGGGCUACACACGUGCUACAAUGGCGUAUACAAAGAGAAGCGACCUCGCGAGAGCAAGCGGAACUCAUAAAGUACGUCGUAGUCCGGAUUGGAGUCUGCAACUCGACUCCAUGAAGUCGGAAUCGCUAGUAAUCGUAGAUCAGAAUGCUACGGUGAAUACGUUCCCGGGCCUUGUACACACCGCCCGUCACACCAUGGGAGUGGGUUGCAAAAGAAGUAGGUAGCUUAACCUUCGGGAGGGCGCUUACCACUUUGUGAUUCAUGACUGGGGUGAAGUCGUAACAAGGUAACCA